rnacentral:rRNA from 1 species
UACAGAGGUCUCGAGCGUUAGGCGGAAUCACUGGGCUUAAAGCGUGUGUAGGUGGAUGCCUAAGUACCUUGUGAAAUCCCACGGCUUAACCGUGGAACUGCUUGGUAUACUGGGUGUCUUGAGUCACUCAGGGGCGAGCGGAACAAAUCGUGGAGCGGUGAAAUGCGUAGAUAUCGGGAGGAACACCUGUGGCGAAAGCGGCGCACUGGACCACAUCUGACGCUGAGGCGCGAAAGCUAGGGGAGCAAACAGG